ACGGAGCGGGCCGGGCCGCCGGGGGGCGGGACUAGCCCGUCGCCAUGGCAACGGCUCGGCUCGGCCAAUCGGAGGCGCAGCACGCUCCGGGUGCAGCCGCGGAGGCGGGAGCUGGGAGGGGAUGAUGGGCAGGCGGUUUAUCCAAUAAGAGAGAAGAGUUGAAGACAGACGGUUAGUUCAACCAAUGAGAGCGCGCGGCCUCUCACCUCAGCCGUAGCCGUACGCCGGGUUGCCCGGCCUUCUUCCUUCCUGCCUCGCCGCCGCCAUGGCCUACCCGGGCGAGGACUACGACAACGAUGCCGCCUACGACCCGUACGCCUACUCGGCCGACUACGACCUGCACACGGGUGAGUGCGGGCCGCAGCCCGCCGGGAGGGGGGCGAGCAGGCCCUGGGGGGGCUGCCACACGUACCCCCCCUCCCCCCCCCCCCCCCCCNNNNNNNNNNNNNNNNNNNNGCCACCCGCUCUUCUGCAGCUAAACAUGGACUUUGCACGCCGUCAGCUGGGCGUGAGCCAGCUCCAGCAAGCAUCCAGGCUCAGCAGAACCAGCAACACGCCCUCCUCCCCUGCUACAGCCUCUGUCAGCUCGCACGCACUGCCUUAAAAGACAGCCCAACGGCUGUAAUGGCUAAUGCUCAAGAUCUGUCUAGCCAAAUAUUCAGGCUCCAAGAACAAUCAGCAGCAAAUGGAGUAUAAAAUGAUGCCAAGGAUGCGAGGCUAGCUCUCACAGCCUUGAGUCAUCUGUAUCUCAGGCACUUCCCAAGCCAGAAAUAGCAACGUGUGGUCAACAGCCCUCCACGGGCUGUCUUCACAGAUUUCUGCAGUCGUUUUUUGCAUCUGCAUGAACUUUGCCCAUCAGUGUGGACCCACGGUGACAAGUUUCACAGCGUAACUCCACCCAGUGAGGAAAAACUACCUCUUCGCAUCUGUUUUGAACAGGUCACUUCCUGGGUUCACCUGCAGCUCCUAGUUUUUGCCCUAAGAGUGGCGGCUACUGACUGGUAGCCCUAGUUUUUGCCCUACAAGUGGCAGUAUGAAUAAGAUAAGAGAUAAGUUAAGAGAUGAUGUAUGGAAGUGAGCUAACGAACAGCCCCGGUAGCCUUAUCAUCAUCUACUUGCAGUUGUUCCCCUUGCUCUUCCACCCAGCUGCUUCUCCAGCAGAGCUGCCUACUUUUCCUCAAGCUGUGGGGUACACGGAACACCUCAGGAUUAUAAACAGGGGAAACGGCGUAUCAAGUACAGGUCCAGAACUAAAGUGAAAGAAACAGGAUUUUCAUAAAGCCUGACUCUUUCAGUCUUCAUUUUGACUCGGUGACUGAAACCAAGCUACGUCCUUCCUGCCCUGACAGAGCUCACAGGUCGCUGUACCCCUCAGUUUGUGAUGCCGGGCAUAUUUUGGAGUUGAAGGGUGCCCGACAACCCCCCGUCUGACAUUUCAGGCGCUCCCACACGCCAGCUCAGCUUCCAGCUCCCUUCACAGCAGGGCCUGGCGCGCAGUUCGGCCGAGGGAACAGCACAGAGCAGGCCAGGCGAUGACAAGGGGCCGAUC
ensembl:lncRNA